CGUGGAGACAGGUGGUGCAUGGCUGUCGUCAGCUCGUGUCGUGAGAUGUUGGGUUAAGUCCCGCAACGAGCGCAACCCUCACCCCUGGUUGCCACCGGGUAAAGCCGAGCACUCGAGGGGAACUGCCAGCGUCAAGCUGGAGGAGGGCGGGGAUGACGUCAAGUCAUCAUGCCCCUUACGCCCUGGGCUACACACGUGCUACAAUGGCCGGUACAAAGGGACGCGAGACCGCGAGGUGGAGCUAAUCCCAAAAAACCGGUCUAAGUUCAGAUUGCAGUCUGCAACUCGACUGCAUGAAGGAGGAAUCGCUAGUAAUCGCGCAUCAGCACGGCGCGGUGAAUACGUUCCCGGGCCUUGUACACACCGCCCGUCACACCACGAAAGCUGUCUGUACUCGAAGUCGCUGAG
rnacentral:rRNA from 1 species